rnacentral:rRNA from 1 species
GAUGAACGCUAGCGGGAGGCUUAAUACAUGCAAGUCGAGGGGUAACGAUGGAGCUUGCUCCAGGCGACGACCGGCGCACGGGUGAGUAACGCGUACACGACCUACCUUAUACUGAGGAAUAGCCCUGGGAAACUGGGAGUAAUACCUCAUAGUAAUAUUAUUUUUCGGAUUAAUAUUUAAAGCUCCGGCGGUAUGAGAUGGGUGUGCGUUAGAUUAGCUUGUUGGUAAGGUAACGGCUUACCAAGGCUACGAUCUAUAGGGGGCGUGAGAGCGUGACCCCCCACACGGGUACUGAGACACGGACCCGACUCCUACGGGAGGCAGCAGUAAGGAAUAUUGGACAAUGGGCGAAAGCCUGAUCCAGCCAUCCCGCGUGCAGGAAGACGGCCCUAUGGGUUGUAAACUGCUUUUAUCAGGGAAGAAAAUGUAGCAUUUAUGCAACACUGACGGUACCUGAAGAAUAAGCACCGGCUAACUCCG